rnacentral:rRNA from 1 species
AAUCAACGCUGGCGGCGUGCCUAACACAUGCAAGUCGCACGAGAAAGGGACUUCGGUCCUGAGUAAAGUGGCGCACGGGUGAGUAACACGUGAAUCAUCUACCUUCGAGUGGGGAAUAACUGAGAGAAAUCUUAGCUAAUACCGCAUAAUACCUACGGGUCAAAGCAGCAAUGCGCUUGAAGAGGAGUUCGCGGCAGAUUAGUUAGUUGGCGGGGUAAUGGCCCACCAAGACGAUGAUCUGUAUCCGGCCUGAGAGGGCGCACGGACACACUGGAACUGAAACACGGUCCAGACUCCUACGGGAGGCAGCAGUGGGGAAUUUUGCGCAAUGGGGGGAAACCCUGACGCAGCAACGCCGCGUGGAGGAUGAAAUCCCUUGGGAUGUAAACUCCUUUCGAUCGGGAAGAUAAUGACGGUACCGAGAGAAGAA